GAAACUAACAAGGAUUCCCCNNNGUAACGGCGAGUGAAGUGGGAAAAGCUCAACUUUGUAAUCUGGCAGCUUCGCUGUCCGAGUUGUAGUCUCGAGAAGUGUUUUCCGCGCUGGACCAUGUAUGAGUCUGUUGGAAUACAGCGUCAUAGAGGGUGAGAACCCCGUUCAUGACAUGACUUCCAGUGCUUUGUGAUACACUUUCGAUGAGUCGAGUUGUUUGGGAAUGCAGCUCAAAAUGGGUGGUAAAUUCCAUCUAAAGCUAAAUAUUGGGGAGAGACCGAUAGCAAACAAGUACCGUGAGGGAAAGAUGAAAAGCACUUUGGAAAGAGAGUUAACAGUACGUGAAAUUGUUGAAAGGGAAACGCUUGAAGUCAGACGUGCGUAGUGCCUUCGGGUGCUGUUGCAGGCCAGCAUCAGUUUCUCGAGCCGGAUAAAGGUAGGAGGAAGGUGGCAGCUCCGGCUGUGUUAUAGCCUCCUACUGAAUACGGAUCU
rnacentral:rRNA from 1 species